UACGUAGGGUGCGAGCGUUAAUCGGAAUUACUGGGCGUAAAGCGUGCGCAGGCGGUUCGUUGUGUCGGCGGUGAAAACCCCGGGCUCAACCUGGGAAUGGCCGUUGAAACUGGCGAACUGGAGUGUGGCAGAGGGGGGUGGAAUUCCGCGUGUAGCAGUGAAAUGCGUAGAGAUGCGGAGGAACACCGAUGGCGAAGGCAGCCCCCUGGGCUGACACUGACGCUCAGGCACGAAAGCGUGGGGAGCAAACAGG
rnacentral:rRNA from 1 species